GCGGCCACCCGAGCCCGGCGAGACCGCCGGGGGCUGCGGCGGAGCGCAGAUUUCACUUCCCGGGGGCCCGGCGGGAAAGGGGAGGGAACUCGGCCAGAUCAAGGCGGUGCAGCCCAUUUUAGAGAUGGGGCAAGUGAGGCCCGGGAGGAUCCCGUGUAGUAAACUACCUGAGGAAGCAGAGAAGAGGGAGUCCAUGCUCCCAGACAGGGCGGACAAGGAGCCCUAAGCAUUUUGCUCCAGUUAAUGGAAACAGUAAUUAAAAACAAACAGCCUUACUUCAGGCAUCAGGGUCAUUGGCGUCGCUUGGAAGCUAACAUGCGAAAGGAUCCCCGGCUCUCCUGCAGGGGUGCUGGGUCCGCUGAUUAUGAACCAGGCAGCUCGCCAAGAGCAGUCCUAGGCUGUUCUCCCUGCACCCCCCUUCCUUUGUUUUACCUUCCUGGGACACACAAAUGGGGUGGAUGGAGAGAGAUCUUUUCUCUGAUGCUGAAGAAAGAAGGAGGCUCCUACCACCUGUGGGGAUGUCAAAAGCGUAGCUUAGACCCGCUGACCUUGUGGUCUCUGCCUCUUGCCUCUCACAAGUUUAGCACCCGGUCAGCCUUAAAAAGCCAACCCUGGUGAAGUGGUGUACCCACAACAUUACUAACAAUAAUGUACAACUGAAAUCUCACAAGGUUGUAAUCUAUCAUAAUCUUAAUAAAAAAAAAAAAAGCCAACCCUGGGAGAAAAGAAAGGUACAAGGCUGGUAGGCCCUAUCUUUCUUCCAGUUGACCUUAGAGCCAUCCGUGACCCCAGAGGUUUCUGCUGAUCUUCAGAGUGUCCCUCUGGCUUUCUGUGUCUCCCUUCCGCUCUGUGUUCUCAUCUAAAAAAUCUAGGUCAUUAUUAGAGAAAUUAAAGGAAACAUGGAUUAGACAAAAAUGAGAAAUGACCACUUUCAGGGUCAUGGAAAAAUAUUUGUGAAUUAAAGGUUGCCCAAGAAUAAGCAAGUAUUUAUUAAAUGUAUUCUACGUGGUCAACACCAAACUAGAUGUCAUGCGGAUAAAUAAGUACCAGAUGUUCUGCUAUAAUGUCAUAUACGUCUUCCUGGAGAAUCUCCUGUUCUGCAAAAUUGCACACUCAAAAUUAAUAGGGCUUCUGGGGUGACCGUGGAUAGGGAAAAUCACUGAAAUCCAACGGAACUUUGGAAUCAGAGCACUAAUGAAAACGAUAACCAUCCUACUAAAAACACUCACGAGGUUCCAUUUCCACAAGCUUUUGCACCCAGGCUCACAGCCAUCAGUGCUUUGUGACCUUCACGCUUCCUCUUUCCCUAUGUGGAUCCUCAAGGGCAUUCACUUUUAAUAGAGGCCAUUUUCAUUAGAAUUAAAAAUCGAAUAGAGGAAUACCGAGCUUUUUGAAAACAUGCAGUACAAGGUCUUCACAGCUUCGUUAUCAGUACUCACAGCUUGACCAGAUAGUUUGAUGUCAUGGGA